GCUCUACCAUGUUUACUGGAUUUCAGGUUUCAGAAAAAAGAGGAGUGUUAAGAGAAGGGAGACUUCUGCCAAACCAGUGUUUUUCCUGUUUUGAAAGGACAACACAAUAUUACCGAAAGCUUAUGGGAAGAUACAUGUUCUAAAUCAUCUGAAGUUUUCCUAAGGGGUGAAUUAUUAGGAGUCCCAGGAUACCAACAGACCUCCUCCAUUUUGUGUGCGAUUGUAGUAAACGGUAACUGGAGAAAAGGGUCAGGAAUGCUUGUUCUUCUUCAGGCCAUACUAAGCUCUGUUCUGCAUUGCCCAAAGGAAUGUGCAUCAAGCCCAUGGCAUCAGCAUGAAGGAU